GGGGGAGGAGGAGAGAGGGAGGGCGGUAGUUGCAGAGAGAGAGAGAGAGAGAGAGAGAGAGAGGGGUAAUAGUAUUGUAGGAUGUGGAUUGGCUGCACUGCUGCAAGGCCUGCUGGAGUUUCUUCAAUGGCUGGUGCUUCUUCAUUGGCUGGAGCUUCAUGGCUGUUAAUGGUGGUUGGUGGGUUGGUGCGUUUCUCCCUCCUCCCCUCUUUUUAAACAUCCGAAAGAUUUCUGUUUCUUCACUUCUACUGGGAUGUUGAUGCUGAGACGCUUUGGCCAUCUUUCUUCGGGAAUGACCUUUUGUUCUGGUCAGAGGUGGUGUAACUUCUACACCAUAUAUCAGGAAUACUCAUCAUGUCGAGAUGGUUCUUUGGAUACCGGGCUGGCCAGAAAGGCUACUGUACCCAUGGAUGGAGGGCCCCACAUUGGCCAGAUUGAAGAGGGUGCUAAACAAGGUGUGGAUGGCAUCUGUCGUAUUUUAAACAGCAGUCCUUGGGGUCCUAACUUGGAAAAUGCUCUAUCUGAAAUUGACCACAAAUCCCAACCCAAACUUUUUGCCAGUGUCUUAAAGAGGCAGAAGGAUUUGCACUUAGCAAUGAACUAUUUUCGAUGGGCAGAGAGGAAGAGCGGUCAACCACACAGUCCAGAAGCAUACAAUACACUCCUCAUGAUAAUGGCUCGGAAUAGGAAUUUUGAUAGUCUGGAGCAGAUUCUGGAGGAAAUGAGUCUUGCUGGAUUUGGACCAUUAAAUGACACAUGCGUGGAGUUGGUUACUAGCUUUGUCAAGUCCAGGAUGCUGAUGGAAGCUGUUGAUAUGAUACAUGCCAUGCGGAAGUUCAAAUUCCGUCCAGCAUUUUCAGCAUACACAACUCUGAUCGGCGCUCUCGCUGAGGCCCAUGAACCCGAUCUGGCACUGACCAUGUUCCAUCAGAUGCAGGAAAUAGGAUAUGAAGUGAACGUGCACUUAUUUACAACUCUCAUCCGUGUGUUUGCCCGGGAAGGCAGGCUCGACGCGGCUCUUUCUCUGUUGGACGAGAUGAAAAGCAAUGCGUUCGAUGCAGACAUUGUUCUGUACAAUGUCUGCAUUGACUGUUUUGGCAAGGUGGGUAAGGUGGAUAUGGCUUGGAAAUUCUUCCAUGAGAUGAAAGCACAAGGCCUCAUGCCCGAUGAUGUAACGUAUACAAGCAUGAUCGGGGUUCUUUGCAAAGCUAAUAGACUUGAUGAAGCCAUUGAGCUGUUUGAGCAGAUGGAGCUUAACAAAAAAGUCCCAUGUGCAUAUGCAUAUAACACCAUGAUAAUGGGCUAUGGCUCAGCCGGUAGGUUUGAUGAUGCUUAUAAGUUACUUGAGAGGCAGAAAGAAAAAGGGUGCAUUCCCAGUGUGAUCGCAUAUAAUUCCAUCCUUACAUGCCUUGGGAAGAAGGGGAAAGUAGAUGAGGCUUACAAGUUGUUCGAUGAAAUGAAGAAAGACGCAGAGCCCAAUCCUUCGACAUAUAAUAUUCUCAUGGACAUGCUUUGCAAGGCUGGGAUGUUGGAGGAUGCUUAUCAAGUUCGGGAUGCCAUGGAAGCUGCCGGGUUGUUUCCAAAUGUGUUGACGGUCAAUAUAAUGGUUGAUAGGCUAUGUAAGGCAAACAAGCUUGAUGAAGCAUGUCGUAUCUUUGAAGGCAUGGAUAAGAAGGGAUGCACACCCAAUGCAGUCACGUUUGGUUCUUUGAUAGAUGGAUUAGGCCGGCGUGGCCGGGUUGAUGAGGCGUACAGAUUGUUUGAAAGGAUGUUAGAUGCAGGUCAGGUCCCGAAUGCUGUUGUUUACACAUCCUUGAUUAGAAAUUUUUUCAGGUGUGGGAGAAAGGAUGAUGGGCAUAAGAUCUAUAAAGAAAUGGUCCGCAGAGGCGGUUGCCCUGAUCUGACUCUUCUUAAUACGUACAUGGAUUGCGUCUUUAAGGGUGGUGAGGUCGAGAAAGGACGGGCUUUGUUUGAGGAAAUUAAGGCUCAUGGGUUUGUCCCAGAUGUGCGGAGCUAUUCAAUCCUUAUUCAUGGUCUCAUCAAAGCCGGCUGUGCUAGAGAGACCUAUGAGCUCUUUUAUGCCAUGAAGGAACAAGGUUGUGUGCUUGACACGCUCGCUUACAACACAGUCAUUGAUGGUUUUUGCAAGUCGGGCAAGGUGAAUAAAGCUUAUCAGCUUCUUGAGGAAAUGAAAGGUAAGGGACACCCACCCACCGUGGUUACAUAUGGGUCUGUCAUCGAUGGGCUCGCUAAGAUCGACAGGCUAGAUGAGGCGUAUAUGCUCUUUGAAGAAGCGAAGUCCAAAGGCAUUGAAUUGAAUGUUGUAAUCUAUAGCAGCCUGAUAGACGGGUUUGGGAAGGUGGGAAGGAUAGAUGAAGCAUAUCUCAUCAUGGAAGAGAUGAUGCAGAAGGAUUUGACUUUGAACGUGUACACAUGGAACUGUCUGCUCGAUGCAUUGGUGAAGGCUGAGGAAAUCAACGAAGCUUUGGUCUGCUUUCAGUCAAUGAAAGAUUUGAAAUGCCCACCUAACACUAUCACCUACAGCAUCCUCAUAAACGGCCUCUGUCGGGCAAGGAAGUUCAGUAAGGCUUUUGUGUUUUGGCAAGAAAUGCAAAAGCAAGGGUUGUGUCCUAAUGUGGUCACCUACACCACGAUGAUCUCGGGGCUUGCGAAGGUCGGAAACAUAUCGGAGGCCAGUGGGCUGUUUGAAAGGUUCAAGGCGAGUGGUGGUAUACCUGACUCAGCUAGUUAUAAUGCUCUUAUAGAGGGAUUAAGCAAUGCUAGUAGAGCAAUGGAGGCAUACCGAGUUUUUGAGGAAACUCGGCUAAGGGGCCGUAGCAUACAUGCUAAAACUUGCAUUGUUCUUUUAGAUGCAUUGCAUAAGGCUGAAUGCCUCGAGCAGGCAGCGGUUGUAGGCGCCAUCUUGAGGGAGAUGGCAAAGUCUCAGCAUGCUGCAAAAUCUUUUUGACAUAUAUUAUGGAUUGAAAUUCAAGUUACCAGAGGUAUGGGCGGACCUUUGCAAAGGCACUUGAAUGUCUGUUUUCCCUGACCGGUGUUCGAAGUUGUUAUGGUUUUCAUCUCAUUGAUAGAGGUUUUUGAGGAGGGUCCAUUUGGUUCCUGCUUGGGUUAUCUUUUCAUCAAUAUAUUUUCAAGUUUCAACAGUUGUGAAUGCUCCCUUCAAAGAAUGAUAGAAAAAACAAAUGAGAAGCUUGAAUGAGUGCAAGGAAAAAAAUAAAAUGAAAGAAAUAACAAGAGACGGUAUUGAGUUGGAUUUUGCCCUAUACUUGGAUGAAAUAACUUCAACAAUAUCAAAUAUCAAAGCAGUUAAGUAUCAUUAUCACCAUUUAAGCCUUACCCCAACUAAUUGGGGUCCGCUAAUUCAUGUUGGUUGUGAGAAUGAUCAAAUGAACUUACAUGAGCCGCCACAGAGAGAGAGAGAGAGAGAGAGAGAGAGAUUAUUAUGAUGAUACCAUUCGGGAAGUCAGUGUUGAUGUCAGGUAGGUUCACUCAUCUGGUGGGGCCCACUUCAAAUUGAAGUACCGCUUGCGCAAAUGCACACUCAUUUUACUAACUAUGAGGUCUUGUAAAAUGAAGUAAGAAAUAGUUGUACUAUUUUUUCUGAAUUAAUUUGAUCAAAUAUCUGUUAUUGAACUUGUAUUGCCA